rnacentral:rRNA from 1 species
UACGUAGGGGGCGAGCGUUGUCCGGAAUCAUUGGGCGUAAAGCGCGUGUAGGCGGCUUGGUAAGUCCGGUGUGAAACCUUGGGGCUCAACCCCAAGCCUGCACUGGAUACUGCCUCGCUUGAGUCCGGGAGGGGAGAGCGGAAUUCCUAGUGUAGCGGUGAAAUGCGCAGAUAUUAGGAAGAACACCGGUGGCGAAGGCGGGUCUCUGGGCCGAUACUGACGCUGAGGAGCGAAAGCGUGGGGAGCAAACAGG